rnacentral:rRNA from 1 species
AGCGAACGCUGGCGGCAGGCCUAACACAUGCAAGUCGAACGAACCUUUCGGGGUUAGUGGCGGACGGGUGAGUAACACGUUGGAACGUGCCUUUAGGUUCGGAAUAACUCAGGGAAACUUGUGCUAAUACCGAAUGUGCCCUUCGGGGGAAAGAUUAAUCGCCUUUAGAGCGGCCCGCGUCUGAUUAGCUAGUUGGUUGAGGUAAUGGCUCACCAAGGCGACGAUCAGUAGCUGGUCUGAGAGGAUGAUCAGCCACAUUGGGACUGAGACACGGCCCAAACUCCUACGGGAGGCAGCAGUGGGGAAUCUUGCGCAAUGGGCGAAAGCCUGACGCAGCCAUGCCGCGUGAAUGAUGAAGGUCUUAGGAUUGUAAAAUUCUUUAACCGGGGACGAUAAUGACGGUACCCGGAGAAGAAGCCCCGGCUAACUUCGUG